CAGCUGCAAGCAGGGGCAGUCGGAAGGAGUGAAGCCGCGGCAGCUGGUGUGACGACAGACCCGGAGAAGAUCCGUGCGUUGAAGGAGUAGCGGACUCCAACAACGGUUGUUCAGCUGCCAUCAUUUUUAGAUUUUGCAUCAUACUAUCACCGUUUGCGAGGUGUCGUUGCUGUACGGUGAAGGCCAGCAUGAGCAUUGCGUGCCUGAGUGGAUCUCCAGUAGAGUUGAGGACUACAUUGGGCUUGGCUUCUGCGACGGAGCUCUUUCCAGCGAGGCCUGCUUCGGAUGCAUCUCACGAUCUUUUGGUUGAUUUCCUUACAGUACAACCACUGUUUUUCCCAGGUUUAUGAUAAGGCUAUGUGUUACAUUGUUUACUUUUCCGUGCCUGUGAAUCACUGCUUCGGCAAAAGGUUUUGAAAGUGGGUGCACAGUAAUAUCUGCCCAUUGGGGGAGGGGGGGAUCCUAUCCUCAGUACUUUGCAUGUUUGUGCUAUUGUAACAUUUCAGGAUCAGGAGUGCUUUUCCGUGCGAUAUUGCAUGAGUGUGAUUUCUGUGUUGAUUAUAAGGGGGUUUGGGAGUAGAUUAACCCAGGUUUGAAGGAUACCACCCCGGAAGUCGUAAGGUGGAUCUCUCUGCCGCUAAGAUUAAUUUUAUGGCACGGAGAGUGUUUUGUAAUGUGACAAUCUCAGUAUAUGUGAGGAUAUGGAUCCAGUUUUAAUGGUUUUUGUGACAAUCCUGUAAAUAAAGUAUU